CUUGCCAACACACAAAUAUAAGAGGUCCAGCCUGCCCAGUGACAAUGUUCAACGGCCGCGGUAUUCUGACCGUGCAAAGGUAGCGUAAUCACUUGUCUUUUAAAUAAAGACUGGUAUGAAAGGCGCCACGAAGAUUCAACUGUCUCCCUUAUCUAGUCAGUGAAACUGAUCUCCCCGUGCAGAAGCGGGGAUGCACACACAAGACGAGAAGACCCCAUGGAGCUUAAGACACAAGCAACUGCUACCCAGCAACCAUCGAAAGACUAAAUCUUUAAUCAGGCAGAAAUGACCCAAUGUUUUCGGUUGGGGCGACCACGGAGAAUAAAGCAUCCUCCGCGAAAGGGGGGUUACACCCUGAAACGAGCAACAGCUCUAAACAUCAGAACAUCUGACCCCUUUGAUCCAGUCUAACUGAUCAACGAAC
rnacentral:rRNA from 1 species